AUUUAUUUUCUUUUUUUUUCCAGAACAUUUCAAAAACUUCCCAAACUGUUUUUCUGUUAGCUUAAUCAUUGUUAAAUCCUUCACUUUCACACCUACUGUCAAGAACCUAAACUUAGCUGAAGCAGCUUAAGUGAUUCAGUUCCCGUCAAACAACAUUCAACAGGAUUCUUACCUCCCAGGCAACUCUUUACUAUCCAGUACAUAAGACUCAAGGACAAUAAAAUUCUUUAUAUAGUGCCAUGUGGCAUCUAAAAUAACUUUGGCUAGGAAAUAAAACAUAUUUGCUGAAAGUUUGGGGUUGAAAUCAAAGAAUGGAUCAAAGUGGCCCUUCAUUUGGCUCCACGUCAUCUCACAAUAGUGAAAUAUAGCAGAAUGUCACUGAACUACCAUAAUACUAAGGGGAGACAUUUUGCAAAAACAGGGAAUGACAAACACGUUUUUUGCUCCUGUUUUAAAGUAAAUUGUACUAAUGACAACAAUAGUGAUCUUUUAUAGGCCCAAAUUGGAUCAGUGAUCAAUUUUGUAGCAUUUCUGUUUCAAAUAUUCAAAAACAAAAAAUAAUCGAAUUAGAAAACAAAAAACUUCAAACUUAAGUGAUGUAAUGAUGGCGCCCCUGUAUUUGACUAGAUGUUAUAUACAUGCCAUUGAAAGACACAGUACCCAAUCUGCCUAAUGUCUAUAAACUGGUGCAAAUAAAGGACAUUUAAACCAUGUAUUCUCUCUUAUUAAAGCCUCCUUUUAAUUGUGUUUUUCCAUCUUGAGUUUCCAACAAGAGCAUCCUCUUAAAGGGAGCUUUUUUUUUUACAAGUAGCUGAAUUUAAUGACAGCUGUCUUCCUGAUAUUGUUUUGUAUAGUAAGGAGUCUCUUGGGAGUUAUCCAGAAACCAAGUCAAGAAAAGACAAUGUUGAGGAACAAAAUAAAAGGGGCUCUGGAAAAUAUGAAGAAAGGAAAAAAGAAUUUGGUGAACUGGAUUUAUCUCCCUUGCUGCCUCUCCAUUGCCUUUUCAUUUCCCCCUUGCAAACCUGGGUAAUGUAAGUAAUUAAUUUUCAAUAAGCUGAAUAAAUGGUCUUCCGCUAUUAAAUAGCUCUAA